rnacentral:rRNA from 1 species
CUACGGGGCGCUGCAGUGGGGAAUAUUGCACAAUGGAGGAAACUCUGAUGCAGCAACGCCGCGUGGAGGAUGACACUUUUCGGAGCGUAAACUCCUUUUAUAUAGGAAGAAGAUGACGGUACUAUAUGAAUAAGCGCCGGCUAACUCCGUGCCAGCAGCCGCGGUAAUACGGAGGGCGCAAGCGUUACUCGGAAUCACUGGGCGUAAAGAGCGUGUAGGCGGAUUAAAAAGUCAGAAGUGAAAUCCUAUAGCUUAACUAUAGAACUGCUUCUGAAACUCUUAAUCUAGAAUGUGGGAGAGGUAGAUGGAAUUUCUGGUGUAGGGGUAAAAUCCGUAGAGAUCAGAAGGAAUACCGAUUGCGAAGGCGAUCUACUAGAACAUUAUUGACGCUGAGACGCGAAAGCGUGGGGAGCAAACAGGAUUAGAUACCCCCGUAGUC